rnacentral:rRNA from 1 species
GUCUAUAUCCAUACCACCCUGAACCUAUUUGAUCACAUCUGAUCUCGGAAGCUAAGCAGGAUUGGGCCUGGUUAGUAUUUCGGUGGGAGACCACCUAGGAAUAACAGGUUCUGCAGGUU